UCCCGUGUGGCUCAGUUGGUAGAGCAUGGUGUUUGCAACGCAAGGGUUAUGGGUUCGAUUCCCACGGGGU
rfam:Salmo salar isolate Sally breed double haploid chromosome ssa13, whole genome shotgun sequence.